CACACCCCACUAUAAGAUCGCAAAGGAUUGUGGGUAAUUGACGUACUUCCCUUAUGCGCAAUAAGUAUUUGAAGAAACAAAUAUAAUAAAAACCAAAAAAUUGUAUAAAAAGCUAUUAUAUGUUCUUAAAAGUUUAUAUUCCAAAACGUUCGAAUUCUUUUGAGUAUUUUUUAUGUGUUCAGUUAUAAGAAAAGUUCAUUGAAAAUUUGAAGACUGUUUGCAGCGCCGUUGUGCGGCAUUCAUAAGAAUAUUCCUUGUGACGCAAUAGGAACUCGUCCUUUCCGUCGACCUACCGUGAGCGGAACAUGUCGCAUACGUCUGAGCGAAGAAACGAUGAUCAAUGGGCAGGAGAUUCCAAAAAUGGUCCAAGUGAAAGUGAUCAACAAACAUAUGAUGGCCCUCCUGGUAUGGAGCCUGAUGGAAUCAUUGAAUCAAAUUGGGAUGUUGUCGUUGACAACUUUGAUGAAAUGAAUCUGAAAGAGGAAUUAUUACGUGGUAUUUAUGCUUAUGGUUUUGAAAAACCUUCUGCAAUUCAACAGCGUGCCAUUCUACCAUGUAUAAGAGGACACGAUGUGAUUGCGCAGGCACAGUCAGGAACUGGCAAGACUGCUACAUUUUCAAUUUCUAUUUUACAACAAAUUGAUACUACCAUUAAAGAGUGUCAAGCUUUGAUUCUAGCACCAACUCGCGAGCUUGCUCAACAAAUUCAAAAAGUUGUUAUUGCUUUGGGAGAUUUUAUGCAUGCAGAAUGUCAUGCAUGUAUUGGAGGUACUAAUGUACGUGAAGAUAUGCGAAAAUUGGAUCAAGGUGUUCACAUAGUAGUUGGUACACCUGGUAGAGUUUAUGAUAUGAUUAGUCGGCGGGCAUUACGAGCCAGUAGUAUCAAACUAUUUGUACUAGAUGAAGCUGAUGAGAUGCUCUCUCGUGGUUUCAAGGAUCAAAUUCAUGAUGUUUUUAAAUUAUUACCUCAUGAAGUACAGGUUAUUUUACUAUCUGCUACAAUGCCAUCAGAUGUAUUAGAUGUAUCUAAAUGCUUCAUGCGAAAUCCAAUUCGUAUUUUGGUUAAAAAAGAAGAACUUACACUAGAGGGUAUUAAACAAUUUUUCAUCUAUGUUGAGCGUGAAGAAUGGAAAUUUGAAACACUUUGUGACCUAUAUGAUACAUUGAGUAUCACUCAAGCAGUUAUCUUUUGUAACACGCGGCGUAAAGUAGAUUGGUUAACAGAAAGUAUGCGCACUCGUGACUUUACGGUCUCUGCUAUGCAUGGAGAUAUGGAACAGAAAGAACGAGAUCUCAUUAUGAGGCAGUUUAGAACUGGAUCAUCUCGUGUUCUCAUAACAACUGAUCUUUUAGCACGUGGUAUUGAUGUUCAACAGGUUUCACUUGUCAUCAAUUAUGAUUUACCUUCCAAUCGUGAAAAUUAUAUUCACAGAAUCGGUCGAGGUGGUCGUUUCGGUCGCAAGGGAGUGGCAAUUAACUUGGUAACUGACGACGAUAAACGAACCUUGAAAGAUAUUGAACAAUUCUAUAAUACUAGUAUCGAAGAAAUGCCAAUGAAUGUCGCAGAUUUGAUUUAAAUCUGACUAUUGGCUAUAAUUCAUUAUAAUUAAAAAAAAAAAAUAAUAAAAGCAAUUUUGAGCGGUCCAGAAAUGAGGGAGAUAUUUUUGGAAAUAAAGACCAAAUUUCGUGAUUCAAUAUAGAAGUUUUGUAAAUCGAUUACCUCUCUAAUUUCCUGCCCUUUGCAGGUUAUUAACAAUAUAAUAUAAAUGUCGAAUUAUUUAUAUAUACGCUUGCAUUAUUUAUUUUUAAUGAUUAUAGAAGUCAGACUUUUACACGAUCAUUUUAUAUCUUAUCAAUAAAAAAAACAUGAAAAUAUU
rnacentral:misc_RNA from 1 species